AUGGGCGUCGAGGAGCAACAUGUGCAGCAACCAGACAGUGGGGGAAAGCCUGAUGCCGUCAAGCCACCAACUCCGGUACACGGUCAUAAACCAAGCAACCCCCGUAUAUCAACCUGCAGCGCCGACAAGGACGACGGCCUCUCUCUUUGCCGGGUGUGCCACUGCGUGGAGCCUGAUCUGAGAGGCGAGUCUGCUCUGGGUUUCCUAGGCAUUGUACCGCCUUCGCCAGACCCCUCGGUCGACAAGGACCCAAGCAAUGACACCACCAAAACUUCCACCAGCAAGGAUGCUCCCAAGUUUCUCGAGUUCAUAAGCCCCGAGGGGGAGAUCUUCAAGUGCGCCACCGACAUCGAAUCAGGCCAUUUGCAGCGGCAAGACGACGUCGUGAACCUCGGAUGCUCUUGCAAGAACGAGCUCGCCCUCGCGCACUACGCGUGCGCGCUCAAGUGGUUCAUCAGCCACGGGUCCACCGUGUGCGAGAUUUGCGGAAAUGUCGCUACAAACGUGAGGCCCGAGGAUUUCAACAUGGUGCUCGCCUCCUUGAAGGACUACGAAGCUCUGAGGGAAAGGACGUCUACCGGGGAUCUCUCCUACUUGCACUACAGGGCGGACGCGUUCGUCGAUCCGGUCGCCCUUGCCGCAGUACGGAGACAGCGGCUUUGUGAGAUAUCAUCAUGGUUCAACCCUCACAAUACACAUUUCGUGUUUUCUCAGAGGCACAAUGAAGAAGUGCCAGUUAGCCCAAGUAAUAAUUCUGUAGACUAUAGUGUUACGGCUGCGAGGGCAGCACAUGCGAGGCGGAAGUUUGGGAGUAGUGGAGCAUUUGUUGCUAUCGCUCUGGGUUUUGUUCUUCUUGCAUGGUUUGUUGCUCCACAUGUUGGCAAGAGAGCGGCUGCAAUCAUUCUUCAUAUGCUUCUGGGAGGCCUCUGCUCACUGACUAUAAUAAUCUCACUAAGAUUUGUUAGUCUUCCCGAGGAUCCAGUUUGGGUCGAUCCGAUGCUGGGCGAUCCUGUUCGUGUCCUGGUUCCUCGUGUUUGGAGUGUGGGCCUCUCGAACCCGCACCGCCCGCCGCGCGUCAUGAUGAUAUCGAGUGUGCCCUCAGUCAGUCGUCGUCAGGAAUUAGGACCGCGUCGCAAGAGUAGCGUCCACGAGAGCGUUAGGUACCGCACCCCUGUCUAUAUUCGCCGCGAGCUAUACCAUGGACGUACUAUUUUUUCUUUAGCUGGAGUAUGUGAGAUGUACAACAUGUUUGGGCAAGAAAACAAGGGGAGUUAUGUUACUGAGUGUUGUGGUUUCAGACAUAGCUGGAGUAGUACUGGUCUGGUCAGUGUUGCAAAACAAUACAGUAAUGUGUGUAUAUAUUUAGCUUUUUCUUGA
rnacentral:rRNA from 1 species